rnacentral:piRNA from 1 species
UAACGGGUAUGUCCACGCAGUACUGGC